GUUCCAGCAGCUAGAUUGGUAGAGAAAAAUGUCACCAAUAUGUCAGGAUAAGAACAGAGGCUUGAAAGACUGAGAGAACGUAGACAAGUUGGAGGCAGUGCAGGACAGGAGGAAUUUCAGGCAAAGGGAUAUCAGCUAGAGCCAAGGAAUAGUGCUGGGACUGCACACUGGAAGGCUUUUGGUUGGAAGUAACAGGGGUGCCAGCAGACAACUGGAAGGGCCAGAACCAGGGACUGCAAAGCC
rnacentral:lncRNA from 1 species